AGUUUACGCCAUAACACCCUGAACAUUCCUGAUCUCAUCUGGUCUCAGAAGCUAAGCAGGGUUGAGUCUGGUUAGUACUUAGAUGGAGACUGCAUGAGAAUAUUAGCUGCUUGGCUUU
rnacentral:rRNA from 1 species